UGGGGAAUUUUGGACAAUGGGCGCAAGCCUGAUGCAGCCAUGCCGCGUGUAUGAAGAAGGCCUUCGGGUUGUAAAGUACUUUCAGCGGGGAGGAAGGUGUUGUGGUUAAUAACCACAGCAAUUGACGUUACCCGCAGAAGAAGCACCGGCUAACUACGUGCCAGCAGCCGCGGUAAUACGUAGGGUGCAAGCGUUAAUCGGAAUUACUGGGCGUAAAGCGUGCGCAGGCGGUUUUGUAAGUCUGUCGUGAAAGCCCCGGGCUCAACCUGGGAAUUGCGAUGGAGACUGCAAGGCUUGAAUCUGGCAGAGGGGGGUAGAAUUCCACGUGUAGCAGUGAAAUGCGUAGAGAUGUGGAGGAACACCGAUGGCGAAGGCAGCCCCCUGGGUCAAGAUUGACGCUCAUGCACGAAAGCGUGGGGAGCAAACAGGAUUAGAUACCC
rnacentral:rRNA from 1 species